AUGAAUGGGCGAAGCCUGAUGCAGCAACGCCGCGUGAGGGAUGACGGCCUUCGGGUUGUAAACCUCUUUUAGCAGGGAAGAAGCGAAAGUGACGGUACCUGCAGAAAAAGCGCCGGCUAACUACGUGCCAGCAGCCGCGGUAAUACGUAGGGCGCAAGCGUUAUCCGGAAUUAUUGGGCGUAAAGAGCUCGUAGGCGGUUUGUCGCGUCUGCUGUGAAAACCCGAGGCUCAACCUCGGGCCUGCAGUGGGUACGGGCAGACUAGAGUGCGGUAGGGGAGAUUGGAAUUCCUGGUGUAGCGGUGGAAUGCGCAAAUAUCAGGAGGAACACCGAUGGCGAAGGCAGAUCUCUGGGCCGUAACUGACGCUGAGGAGCGAAAGGGUGGGGAGCAAACAGGCUUAGAUACCCUGGUAGUCCACCCCGUAAACGUUGGGAACUAGUUGUGGGGUCCAUUCCACGGAUUCCGUGACGCAGCUAACGCAUUAAGUUCCCCGCCUGGGGAGUACGGCCGCAAGGCUAAAACUCAAAUGAAAUUGACGGA
rnacentral:rRNA from 1 species